rnacentral:rRNA from 1 species
AACGAACGCUGGCGGCAUGCCUAACACAUGCAAGUCGAACGAAGGCUUCGGCCUUAGUGGCGCAAGGGUGCGUAACGCGUGGGAAUCUGCCCUUUGGUUCGGAAUAACAGCUGGAAACGGCUGCUAAUACCGGAUGAUGACGAAAGUCCAAAGAUUUAUCGCCAGAGGAUGAGCCCGCGUUGGAUUAGGUAGUUGGUGGGGUAAAGGCCUACCAAGCCGACGAUCCAUAGCUGGUCUGAGAGGAUGAGCAGCCACACUGGGACUGAGACACGGCCCAGACUCCUACGGGAGGCAGCAGUGGGGAAUAUUGGACAAUGGGCGCAGGCCUGAUCCAGCAAUGCCGCGUGAGUGAUGAAGGCCCUAGGGUUGUAAAGCUCUUUUACCCGGGAAGAUAAUGACUGUACCGGGAGAAUAAGCCCCGGCUAACUCCGUG